AUUGAACGCUGGCGGCAGGCUUAACACAUGCAAGUCGAACGAUGACUAACUAGCUUGCUAGAUAUGAUUAGUGGCGGACGGGUGAGUAACAUUUAGGAAUCUGCCUAGUAGUGGGGGAUAGCUCGGGGAAACUCGAAUUAAUACCGCAUACGACCUACGGGUGAAAGGGGGCGCAAGCUCUUGCUAUUAGAUGAGCCUAAAUCAGAUUAGCUAGUUGGUGGGGUAAAGGCCCACCAAGGCGACGAUCUGUAACUGGUCUGAGAGGAUGAUCAGUCACACCGGAACUGAGACACGGUCCGGACUCCUACGGGAGGCAGCAGUGGGGAAUAUUGGACAAUGGGGGCAACCCUGAUCCAGCCAUGCCGCGUGUGUGAAGAAGGCCUUUUGGUUGUAAAGCACUUUAAGCAGGGAGGAGAGGCUAAUGGUUAAUACCCAUUAGAUUAGACGUUACCUGCAGAAUAAGCACCGGCUAACUCUGUGCCAGCAGCCGCGGUAAUACAGAGGGUGCGAGCGUUAAUCGGAAUUACUGGGCGUAAAGCGAGUGUAGGUGGCUCAUUAAGUCACAUGUGAAAUCCCCGGGCUUAACCUGGGAACUGCAUGUGAUACUGGUGGUGCUAGAAUAUGUGAGAGGGAAGUAGAAUUCCAGGUGUAGCGGUGAAAUGCGUAGAGAUCUGGAGGAAUACCGAUGGCGAAGGCAGCUUCCUGGCAUAAUAUUGACACUGAGAUUCGAAAGCGUGGGUAGCAAACAGGAUUAGAUACCCUGGUAGUCCACGCCGUAAACGAUGUCUACUAGCCGUUGGGGUCCUUGAGACUUUAGUGGCGCAGUUAACGCGAUAAGUAGACCGCCUGGGGAGUACGGCCGCAAGGUUAAAACUCAAAUGAAUUGACGGGGGCCCGCACAAGCGGUGGAGCAUGUGGUUUAAUUCGAUGCAACGCGAAGAACCUUACCUGGUCUUGACAUAGUGAGAAUCUCUCAGAGAUGAGAGAGUGCCUUCGGGAACUCACAUACAGGUGCUGCAUGGCUGUCGUCAGCUCGUGUCGUGAGAUGUUGGGUUAAGUCCCGCAACGAGUGCAACCCUUUUCCUUAUUUGCCAGCGGGUUAAGCCGGGAACUUUAAGGAUACUGCCAGUGACAAACUGGAGGAAGGCGGGGACGACGUCAAGUCAUCAUGGCCCUUACGACCAGGGCUACACACGUGCUACAAUGGUAGGUACAGAGGGUUGCUACACAGCGAUGUGAUGCUAAUCUCAAAAAGCCUAUCGUAGUCCGGAUUGGAGUCUGCAACUCGACUCCAUGAAGUCGGAAUCGCUAGUAAUCGCGGAUCAGAAUGCCGCGGUGAAUACGUUCCCGGGCCU
rnacentral:rRNA from 1 species